rnacentral:tRNA from 1 species
GCCCAGGUAGCUCAGCUGGUAGAGCAGGGGACUGAAAAUCCCCGUGUCGGCAGUUCGAUUCUGUCCCUGGGCACCA